rnacentral:tRNA from 1 species
AGAGGUGUGGCUCAGUGAUAGAACACCUGCCUAGCAAGCAUGCAGCCCUAAGUUCAAACUCAGUACCACCA